rnacentral:snRNA from 1 species
GGCGUCGGUAUCACAUCUUGGCAGACAUUUCUUUCGCCUUUUACUAAAGAAAUCUGAGAUUUGAUUCCAUUGUGACGCAUUCACAAUUUUUUUUUGCCUGCACCUGCGGGCA